GGGGUGAAAAGAACAAAGUUUUGUCCAUCUUUGUUCAUCAUAGCCAAAAGUUAGAGAAGAGAAAGGAGAGGAAAAAGUUCUUGAAUGUUUGGUCACUUGGGGAAGAAAAUUGAAGGCUAUGGUUGGGUUAAUUUACACACUGAGUUUCCCCAAACUCACCCCUUUUAUUUUCAUCCAUGCUGGUAAUCCCCAACCAUAAUGAGCUUGGAGCUGUGAGGGAAUUCGGAGUGGCCACCCGUUCUGAAAGUUUGAUUUUCUUUUGGUGAACUGGACAUUCUUUUAUUUACGUUUGAAGUUUUGGAUUUUUAAAUGUAAUAAGGCCGCUUAAUUAUUGUUGAUGGUUUUAAUAUGUAUUACUAAGAUAGGUAUUACUUA